UACGUAGGGUGCAAGCGUUAAUCGGAAUUACUGGGCGUAAAGCGUGCGCAGGCGGUUUUGUAAGACAGGUGUGAAAUCCCCGGGCUUAACCUGGGAACUGCAUUUGUGACUGCAAGGCUGGAGUGCGGCAGAGGGGGAUGGAAUUCCGCGUGUAGCAGUGAAAUGCGUAGAGAUGUGGAGGAGCACCGAUGGCGAAGGCAGCCUCCUGGGCCAGCACUGACGCUCAUGCACGAAAGCGUGGGGAGCAAACAGG
rnacentral:rRNA from 1 species